rnacentral:SRP_RNA from 1 species
UAACUGGGAUAGGUGGGGAGCUCGGCGUACCCUGUACCACAAAUCGUCGUUACGGUGGGCUGAACGCUUUGGGGCGGCGAGAGCGGCCAUGGAGUUCCCGUUGGCGGACGUAGAUGUCUCGCCCCCACAUGACUCGGGUGUCAUGAACCGUCUCCGGAAGGAAACGGGAAUUGGAUAACCGGGGGAACAGGUCAGGCCGGGAACGGAGCAGCCCUACCCGGGGCCAUGAGUGCUGUGGGGAUUCGGGAUGGAGAAAGCCAGCGGAUUUGGCUUCGUGGCACGGGCGUCCACCCUUAGCCUUCCCACCUA